UCCUAAUUCACUUUAGGUCUUGCUGCAUUUUUAGAAUGUUUUACUUUUCAGCCACAGCAUUUUUAAUAAAGAUCCGUAUCACUGUAGUGUGUGUGUGUGUGUGUGUGUGUGUUUGUGUGCGUGUUCAUGUGAGCCGUUCAUACACAGCCGUUUCCAAGAAGAUGAAGAUCUUCCACUCUGGCGCUCUCCAGCAAUUGGGUCGUUGGUCUUCUUCAUCCUUCUCUUCCUAUGUUCGCCUGGAUUUCCACUCCAUUCUAUCUGCUCAAUGUUUUAUCAGCUCUCAGAUUGAAAUGGAGUUUUGACGAAAAUUCAGAAUGAAAGACGCACCUUCAC